rnacentral:rRNA from 1 species
UUCGGUGUCGUAGCUAACGCGUUAAGUGUUCCGCCUGGGGAGUACGCACGCAAGUGUGAAACUCAAAGGAAUUGACGGGGGCCCGCACAAGCGGUGGAGUAUGUGGUUUAAUUCGAUGCAACGCGAAGAACCUUACCAGGGUUUGACAUCCUGCGAACCUCUUAGAAAUUUGAGGGUGCCUUCGGGAAUGCAGUGACAGGUGGUGCAUGGCUGUCGUCAGCUCGUGUCGUGAGAUGUUGGGUUAAGUCCCGCAACGAGCGCAACCCACGUUUUUAGUUGCCAGCAUUUAGUUGGGCACUCUAGAAAGACCGCCGGUGAUAAACCGGAGGAAGGUGUGGAUGACGUCAAGUCAUCAUGCCCCUUACACCCUGGGCUACACACGUACUACAAUGCUACGGACAAAGGGCAGCAAACUCGCGAGAGCUAGCAAAUCCCAUAAACCGUGGCUCAGCUCAGAUCGUAGGCUGCAACUCGCCUACGUGAAGUAGGAAUCGCUAGUAAUCGCAGGUCAGCAUACUGCGGUGAAUACGUUCCCGGGCCUUGUACACACCGCCCGUCACACCAUGGAAGUUGGCCAUGCCCGAAGUCGUUACUCCAACCCUUGUGGAGGAGGACGCCGAAGGUGGGGCUAAUGACUGGGGUGAAGUCGUAACAAGGUAACCGUAA